rnacentral:rRNA from 1 species
GAUGAACGCUGGCGGCGUGCCUAAUACAUGCAAGUCGAACGAGUUCUCGUUGAUGAUCGGUGCUUGCACCGAGAUUCAAUAUGGAACGAGUGGCGGACGGGUGAGUAACACGUGGGUAACCUGCCCUUAAGUGGGGGAUAACAUUUGGAAACAGAUGCUAAUACCGCAUAGAUCCAAGAACCGCAUGGUUCUUGGCUGAAAGAUGGCGUAAGCUAUCGCUUUUGGAUGGACCCGCGGCGUAUUAGCUAGUUGGUGAGGUAAUGGCUCACCAAGGCGAUGAUACGUAGCCGAACUGAGAGGUUGAUCGGCCACAUUGGGACUGAGACACGGCCCAAACUCCUACGGGAGGCAGCAGUAGGGAAUCUUCCACAAUGGACGCAAGUCUGAUGGAGCAACGCCGCGUGAGUGAAGAAGGCUUUCGGGUCGUAAAACUCUGUUGUUGGAGAAGAAUGGUCGGCAGAGUAACUGUUGUCGGCGUGACGGUAUCCAGCCAGAAAGCCACGGCUAACUACGUGCCAGCAGCCGCGGUAAUACGUAGGUGGCAAGCGUUAUCCGGAUUUAUUGGGCGUAAAGCGAGCGCAGGCGGUUUUUUAAGUCUGAUGUGAAAGCCCUCGGCUUAACCGAGGAAGCGCAUCGGAAACUGGGAAACUUGAGUGCAGAAGAGGACAGUGGAACUC